AUUGAACGCUGGCGGCAGGCCUAACACAUGCAAGUCGAGCGGAUGAAGGGAGCUUGCUCCUGGAUUCAGCGGCGGACGGGUGAGUAAUGCCUAGGAAUCUGCCUGGUAGUGGGGGAUAACGUCCGGAAACGGGCGCUAAUACCGCAUACGUCCUGAGGGAGAAAGUGGGGGAUCUUCGGACCUCACGCUAUCAGAUGAGCCUAGGUCGGAUUAGCUAGUUGGUGGGGUAAAGGCCUACCAAGGCGACGAUCCGUAACUGGUCUGAGAGGAUGAUCAGUCACACUGGAGCUGAGACACGGUCCAGACUCCUACGGGAGGCAGCAGUGGGGAAUAUUGGACAAUGGGCGAAAGCCUGAUCCAGCCAUGCCGCGUGUGUGAAGAAGGUCUUCGGAUUGUAAAGCACCUUAAGUUGGGAGGAAGGGCAGUAAGUUAAUACCUUGCUGUUUUGACGUUACCAACAGAAUAAGCACCGGCUAACUUCGUG
rnacentral:rRNA from 1 species